ACAACUGUAUAACGAUGGCUGUAGACAGCAGGUUUGAUAAUUUAUCAUCUAACGACAAUUUGUCGCCUGCCGAGGCCGGAGCAGAUGAACUUUGAAAAUUCUACCUCCGGCGGACGCAGCCGGAGGUUUUUUUACAGGCUU
rfam:Selenomonas ruminantium strain C3 genome assembly, contig: IE42DRAFT_scaffold00011.11